AGCUGUGCCGCUGGGGCCCUGACAGGCUCUGUGUUCCCAGGGACGGUCAGGAAGCACCUGAGGGGGCCGCAGGAAGAGCUGCAGGUCCUCAGCGAGGCACUUCAAGCUCUGAGAAGAGAUGACGACCCUUCUCAGAGAAACAAAGUUCUCCAACAGAUAUUAACUGAACAAGCUGCAGAGGUAUGCUCGUCUGCUGGCUUAGGAAUCCAGUCUUCGUGGAAGACGCUAUGGAAGAUGAGACUAUGCUAAGACCAGAAGAGACCAGCUGGAGCUCCAGGCACAGCUGACAACUGGCACAGCUGAGCCUGUGGGAAGCUCACGCGGCUUCAGCCCUCUCCCUGCCUGUAGAUAGCUCUGUCCCUGCAGCCCUCAGAAACUGCCCAUCCCUUCUUUUUCCCUUCACUCUCCCUUUUGACAGCUCCCUCCCUACGCCACUGAAACACUCCCCAUCCAUUCUUUUUCCCUUCAAUCUCCCUCCCUUUUGACAGCUCCCUCCCUGCGGCCCUUAGAUACUGCCCAUCCCUUCUUUUUCCCUCCACUUUCCCUCCCUUUUCACAGCUCCAUCCCCCAGCCCUCAGACCAUCCCCUUUUUUGCUCCUCAUCUCAUCCCUUUGCUUUGCAUCCCAUCAAUAAACAGUUUGGCUUUUUCACUAAA